rnacentral:rRNA from 1 species
UACGUAGGGCGCAAGCGUUGUCCGGAAUUAUUGGGCGUAAAGAGCUCGUAGGUGGCUUGUUGCGUCUGCCGUGAAAGCCCGUGGCUUAACUACGGGUCUGCGGUGGAUACGGGCAGGCUAGAGGCUGGUAGGGGCAAGCGGAAUUCCUGGUGUAGCGGUGAAAUGCGCAGAUAUCAGGAGGAACACCGGUGGCGAAGGCGGCGAUCUGGGUAGAUACUGACGCUGAGGUGCGAAAGCGUGGGGAGCAAACAGG